GGGCGGAUAGCUCAGCGGGAGAGCAUCGGCCUUACAAGCCGAGGGUCGCAGGUUCAAAUCCUGUUCCGCCUACCA
rnacentral:tRNA from 1 species